rnacentral:rRNA from 1 species
UACGGAGGGUCCAAACGUUGUCCGGAAUCACUGGGCGUAAAGAGCAUGUAGGUGGCUUUGUAAGUGAGCGAUUAAAGACCGAAGCUUAACCUCGGGACUGUUGCUUAUACUGCAUCGCUUGAGGAUACCAGGGGCAAGCGGAACUUUAAGUGUAGGAGUGAAAUCCGUAGAUAUUUAAAGGAACACCAAUGGCGAAGGCAGCUUGCUAGGGUAUAUCUGACACUGAGAUGCGAAAGCGUGGGGAGCGAACAGG